rnacentral:rRNA from 1 species
CCUACGGGUGGCAGCAGUGGGGAAUAUUCCACAAUGGACGAAAGCCUGAUGCAGCGACGCCGCGUGAGGGAUGAAGGGUUUCGGAUCGUAAACCUCUGUCGGCAGGGAAGAAAGUUCACGGUGCUAAUCAGCAGUAAAUUGACGGUACCUACAAAGGAAGCACCGGCUAACGCCGUGCCAGCAGCCGCGGUAAUACGGAGGUGGCGAGCGUUAAUCGGAAUUACUGGGCGGAAAGCGCGCGGAGGCGGUAUGUCAAGUCAGAGGUUAAAUCCCUGGGCUCAACGUGGGAACUGCCUUUGAAACUGGCAAACUGGAGUGUAGGAGAGGAUAGUGGAAUUCCAGGUGUAGGAGUGAAAUGCGUAGAUAUAUGGAGGAACAUCAGUGGCGAAGGCGACUAUCUGGCACAUAACUGACGCUGAGGAGCGAAAGCGUGGGUAGCAAACAGGAUUAGAUACCCGGGUAGUC